rnacentral:rRNA from 1 species
AUUGAACGCUGGCGGCAGGCCUAACACAUGCAAGUCGAGCGAGCGGCGGACGGGUGAGUAAUGUAUGGGGAUCUGCCCGAUAGAGGGGGAUAACUACUGGAAACGGUGGCUAAUACCGCAUACUAUCGGAUGAACCCAUAUGGGAUUAGCUAGUAGGUGGGGUAAAGGCUCACCAAGGCGACGAUCCCUAGCUGGUUUGAGAGGAUGAUCAGCCACACUGGGACUGAGACACGGCCCAGACUCCUACGGGAGGCAGCAGUGGGGAAUGUUGGACAAUGGGCGAAAGCCUGAUGCAGCCAUGCCGCGUGUAUGAUGAAGGCCUUAGGGUUGUAAAGUACUUUCGGCAGGGAGGCGUUACCCGCAGAAGAAGCACCGGCUAACUCCGUGCCAGCAGCCGCGGUAAUAC